GAGUUUGAUCAUGGCUCAGAUUGAACGCUGGAGGCAUGCCUUACACAUGCAAGUCGAACGGCAGCACGGGGGCAACCCUGGUGGCGAGUGGCGAACGGGUGAGUAAUACAUCGGAACGUGUCCUGUAGUGGGGGAUAGCCCGGCGAAAGCCGGAUUAAUACCGCAUACGCUCUACGGAGGAAAGGGGGGGAUCGCAAGACCUCCUGCCACAGGGGCGGCCGAUGGCAGAUUAGCUAGUUGGUGGGGUAAAGGCCUACCAAGGCGACGAUCUGUAGCUGGUCUGAGAGGACGACCAGCCACACUGGGACUGAGACACGGCCCAGACUCCUACGGGAGGCAGCAGUGGGGAAUUUUGGACAAUGGGCGCAAGCCUGAUCCAGCAAUGCCGCGUGUGUGAAGAAGGCCUUCGGGUUGUAAAGCACUUUUGUCCGGAAAGAAAACCUUCGCCCUAAUAUGGUGGGGGGAUGACGGUACCGGAAGAAUAAGCACCGGCUAACUACGUGCCAGCAGCCGCGGUAAUACG
rnacentral:rRNA from 1 species